UUUCAAUCUGGUCUUUACACAAGAGCAAGAAAUAUCUUAAAAGCUAUCCAUGCCAGUAUUUAACUAUAUAUAACUACUACACUGUUUGUGCUGGCUUUGAAGUUGGCAUCUCUUUGAAUCCUGAGGUUUUCCCUGCACAUUCCAGUGCUAAGAAAAGCAGGCCCAGUCCCAGGUGCUCUGAUGCCAAUGUCAGCUCUGAUGGGAAUUCAAGAGCAGGACUGAGUGCAUGUCUAACAUAUGAACAUACUUGUAGAGACACCAGCACACUAAUGUCUGACUGUAGAUAACAGUCCCUUUGAAGGACUUCUGGCCGCCUGUAGAGAACAUUUUACAAUUACUCAGCCCACAGCUCCGCAUCUCCUACCCAUGACAUCUGCUUGUUCACAUCAAGACAGGCAGCUGCGUCUUGGCAAAUUCUGCUCCUGAUUUACGCCUGACCCCCUGCAAAGCCAAUAACCAAAUGUAAUAUACAAGUGCUACUUUUCCCUCGGCACCUCUGCACGCUGCGGUUCCCUGGUGGGGUAAGGAAGGGAUGUCCUGCAGCGGUUGGCAGAAGGGAAGGAAGUGGAGCGUGACUGGAGCGCGGAGCUGCUGCGUGGCUGCUGGAAAGGUUCUGGGGAGCACCGAAGUUCGGGGACGGAUUAUUAACGUGUUAAUAACUAAGGCAGAUACCUACACUUGGUAGUUUAAAUGAGGGGGUCGCUUCACGCACUGGAAUUUCGCGCGGUGAUUGAACUGUAACACUUCACUUAUUUUAAACGGUGUUUCUCGGUAAGCGAGCUCAUGCGCCCGGCCGCUGAUCGCCCCCCGGCCGUGCCUUCGGGCCGGGCUGCCGGCGGCACCGGGAGCGGGCGCUCCGCAAGCCCCGGAGUGUCCGUGCGCACCUCCGUGCACGGCGGCGGGGAACACACCGCCCUCCAAAGGGCUUCCCAAAGGAAUAAAGGGAGGAGAGGGAAAUGUUCCCACGUGCCGAUAACAGCUCAACCGAAACACUCAAACGCGCCGACCCUGCCCACGUCCCAAGGCUCAGCCGCAGCUCGGCGCUCGCCCGUCCAUCCGUCCCUCA